GGCUGGAACCACCAUCCAAUCCGUACUGAGGGAAAUCGGAGUCCAGUGCAGAUCUGGGAUAUUGCCCAGAUGCUUCAUACCAAUGCCCACCUUGAAAACCUUGAAGACCUACAAGAACCAGACAUUGACUGGGAGGCUGCUGUCGACUAUGAUGGCUUUGACGCAGAAACGGGCAUUGUAGUGCCUGAAUAUGAGUGCCCUCUUACAGAAGACGAGAUGGGUGAACUCCAGACUUUAGUAGAUCCUACCGAUCUAAAUAUUACUGAUGAACAGCUCUAUGUUUUCUGCCAUGAGCAUGUGAGACGACUGCGCUCGCAGCCUUAGGGCCUCUUCACUGUUGAUGUAAUCACAUUUUCAAGAUGACCCAUUUUCAAGUAGGACAGCACAAAAC